rnacentral:rRNA from 1 species
GACGAACGCUGGCGGCGUGCUUAACACAUGCAAGUCGAACGGUGAAGCUCCAGCUUGCUGGAGUGGAUCAGUGGCGAACGGGUGAGUAACACGUGAGCAACCUGCCCCUGACUCUGGAAUAAGCGCUGGAAACGGCGUCUAAUACUGGAUACGAGAAGGGUCCGCAUGGGCACUUUCUGGAAAGUUUUUCGGUUGGGGAUGGGCUCGCGGCCUAUCAGCUUGUUGGUGAGGUAAUGGCUCACCAAGGCGACGACGGGUAGCCGGCCUGAGAGGGCGACCGGCCACACUGGGACUGAGACACGGCCCAGACUCCUACGGGAGGCAGCAGUGGGGAAUAUUGCACAAUGGGCGAAAGACUGAUGCAGCGACGCCGCGUGAGGGAUGACGGCCUUCGGGUUGUAAACCUCUUUCAGCAGGGAAGAAGCGAAAGUGACGGUACCUGCAGAAGAAGCACCGGCUAACUACGU